CUCACAGGCAGUGGCUAACUACCAUGGUCGCAGGGUCAUAGCUGCAACAGGGCCCGUCACUCUAGGGGGCCAGGUCAUCCUGUCGACCCCUGCAACCGUGGGCCUCCGGUAUAACUUCAGGGCCCAGUAUGCGUGGUUGCCGAGUAACCAGCAGGAGGAGAGCGCAGAGCACAGUGCUCCAUCUCUUGCCGGUCACUGUAUGUAGUGUGCCAGAGCGGUCCAUGGUCUCACAGGAAG